CCGGCGGCGCCGACAGCGGCGAAAGCUCCGCGGGGCGCUCCGCGUUCGGCAGCGGAACGGGCGCCGCGAGGGCCCCGGGGCCGCUCCCGCUCCGGACGGCCGCUCGGCGCUUCUCCGCGGCCGGCGGCGCCCUUAUGGCGGCGCUUUGCGUAUCCACCGCGGCUACAGGUUGGGGAUCUCGGAGCGUUUGAUCGUUUAUUUAUCCCGCCGGCACUCCCUGGAAGUAGGUCUGCAGUCCCCGCGUUGCUGGAGCGGGGGGGGCUGCGAGGCACGGAUCGCUCCGGGCCGGGCUGUCAUUCACCGUCAGAGGGACCGACAGCGCUCACUGACUCAAAAUGCCGUUUCCUUCCCCACCUCGUGAGCAACUUUCUGCACGCAGGUUUCAGCUCUACGCUCUGCACCCUGAUAUAUGGAAAUUCUGAUGUGCAGAUUAGGAAAGCCCCUAUGCAGGAUCUCAUUAGAGGCGAGCGUGAUCCCACCGUACUAAAAAGGAACACCUCCAAUGCAGCGCCACGUCCAUGCUCAGCGCCAGCGCUGACAAUGGGAAAGCCUGCAUGCGAGGACUGAGCCAGCAGCAAUCACAGAACGGCUUGGGUUGGAAGGGACCUUAAAGCCCACCCAGCCCCAACUCCUGCCGUGGGCAGGGCUGCCCCCCACCAGCUCAGACUGCCCAGGGCUCCACCCAACUGACACUGAGCACCUGCAGGGGUGGGGCAUCCCAGCACUCCAAUUACACCACUGCAGAGUAAGAGAGGAAAUGUUCAACGUCACUUCAGGUGAACAAAUACGUUUAAACAAGGAACGUCCUCUUUUCUUUCUCUCCCUCUGUGCGUUUUCCUUCUGCUUUGUUUAGUUUUGGAAGACCUCCCAGCAGAAGGAAGGAGCCAGCACUGCACCACCUGUUGUUCCAUUACCUCGUGGAAGGCAGUGGCAGAACAGAUCUCACAGGGAAUACGUUCAGGAGGAAGAAAGAAGUGCUGUUGUCCCCAGGUCAACCUUAGCCCACCGUUCGGAUACGUAGAAGAUACACAGGGAAGGAGGAGUUUAUUCAAAAGGUUUAUGACAGUGAAUCUGAGAGAAGCCAAAUGCCUGCUGAAGACUGUCCUGAGGUGCUUAAGCAAACCCUGCCCAGAUGAGAGGAACUAAGGCCUUCAGUCAUUUUCUCCCUUUGCACAGUUGCAGCUCUGGUAGUGGGGGAGAUGAGAAGUCCCUUUCCCUGCUGUGUCCUGAGGUUACUGCCUCAUAGCACAGCUGGCAGUGCAAACAUAAACUCGUGCCUGAGCUCCUUCUGUGCAUAGUUUGGCGAGCUAAUGCCAGUAGUUCACAUGCUAAUGAAAUAGGAUUGGAGCUGAGAUACACAGAAGAAAACUUUCUUGGCCAGAAGUGAGGUGCACAGGAGAAGGAAGGAAAAGAAACCCUGAAAAAACAUCAUUUGCCAUCAUAUUUUAGAUAAUUCUUUCUCCAACUUGCAUUUUCAUUGCUCUUAAAGAGAAGUGUGAUAACACUCUGUAUAAAAGUAUUAUUUAAAAUGGAAUAGAGUGCAAUUUAAUAAUUUUCAUAUGUCUUUCAUUAAAAAUAUAUAUAAGCUAAUAAAAGGCUUUUACUGGCACACUUUAAAUUUAGUUUGAAAUUUAUUUUCACAUAGGAAGUGUUUAUUAGGCUCCUGCAGUCUCUCCAAGCCUGUUUACACAGAAGAACAUCCCUUCCACUGCUGCAUUUGAGGUAGGAGUGAAGGAACUGCCAUCCAAAGAUAGGAAUUGCCCUGAUAUUCUCAUACAGCAUUCCCAAAGCAUUCAUGUGCACAUCUCUCCCUCUGUCUCUAUGCUGCACAUUGCAGGACAAAUGGGACCCACUCUGUGACUGAGGCUUGAAAUUUCAGUAACACAGAUUUCUGAAAAGUCAAGUUUCUCUUCAAUUAAAUCUCUUAAAGUAGACUUGGACAAUGUUUAAAUUUAAUGAAAUUAAAAUUGAGCACGUAGCACGUUAAACCUGAAUUAAUUCUUUUCCACUUUUCUGUUUUCUACAAUGUUAUUUUAAAUAAAACACAUGUGGAAAAGAACGAAUCCUUUCUUAUCA
rnacentral:lncRNA from 1 species